GUCAACUGUCCGAAUCUGACGGAACGUAUCCUAAUUAAUCCGCUCAUUAAUGAAAUCGUAUUGCUAAAUGAGAAGAAUUUUUUUGGAUGAAAAAUGGCAAACUUUGCAAUAAGUCGCUGCUUAAAUCGAAUCAAUCCUGAGAUAGAAAUGUGUCAGUGAGCCGGUUGGGAAAGGGAGCGAGCUAAAUGUCAACCCGGACAGUAAGAAGCCGGUACAGGAAGAGAGAGAGAGAGAGAGAGAAAGAAAAAAAAAGAAGGAAUGCGCGUCAUCGCGUGAGAAACGCUUCGAGUGAAGCGUGGCAUACGGUGAUAAUUCGCAAUGGUCAACCAAAUCCACUAAUCUUAGCGAAAUAAAAUCGAAAUACACGACAACUUAAUACAUCGUAAAUGGGUACAUCAGGUAGCACAAGAGAAGAUCAAAAGCGGAAGUUGGUUUCGGUUCCCUGAGGGUGGUUCGUGAGCGUGCUUUAGGAACCAAAUGAAACUAAAUCGAUCAACAAGCUCUCAUCUCGACCAUCCGUGGAUCCAGUAUCAUCUUGACAAGUAAAAAUGGAUUGUUUCAACAUUUCUUUUUGUAUAGAUUAACAUGCGAUGAUAGUAUUGGAACAAUAUGAAGCCAUUGUCGUUACAUUAUGUGGCCAGCUUCUGAUUUUAUAACAACGAUAGGAAGUGUUUGUUAACUGAAUGGAAAUCAUGAUGUAAAGACACUGCCAGUUUUACGGUGAUCCUCCACCAAGUUCCAUCUGGCGAACAGAAACUAAUGCAUGGAUGGUCGAUUGAGGUAAAGGCUUGUCAGACUUGUCUGUACGAAUUGCACACACAUUCUGUGACAACAUCGAUGUAUAACUCACGCAAAUACUUAUCACACUAUACCUCUUACGUGUAGAUACAAGUUUCAGAGAGUUCCAGCCUCACCGCGUUUAAGCUUCUGUACAUACGAUAUUACAUAUACAUUUCUUACAUAUAUAAUAUAUAUGUAUAAAUAAUAUAUAUAUAAUAUAUAUAAAAAAAAAUUAAGAUACGAAAGGAGGAAACCACUUCAUCCUGUAUCAUGGUUCUGUCGUCGAUCCCCAUCGACGAGGGAACAAGGGAAUUACAUAAUGACAGAUAAACGGGGGGGAAGCAAUAAGUUAACUCUCUAUUCUCUAACUUCUAAAAGUGAAGUACAACAAGGUGUCGCGAUAAAAUGGUCGAGACGUUUAAAAGAACAAAAAAGGAAAAAAAAAAUGUUCAAGGUUAAACGACGCUCGUGUUAAAAAGUCGGACAACGCGACUACAAAAUGCCUUUUUUUCUCGUUUCAAUCGAAGAGUCGCGAACGCAAUUUUGAAGCUAUCUGCGUACGGGGCAAGCACAAAUCGUUUUCUCGUCGCGUCUCCGUUGCGAUCGCAAUCCUCUGAGGUCCCAUUGAGUUUCCAGCCCGUGACUGAACAUUGUUGCAUUUAUAAAUCUAAUAAUACUUAUAAAUUUGUUUAUAAAAUGAGAACUCUAACGAGUUAUUGCUUUAUAAUACUCUAUUUACAAUUCCAUUGACCUCGACAAUGUCACUGGACCACAGAGGAUUAGAAACUUGGUUCGGUGUAGGACUAAUCAUUUAUUUUCUCAUCGGGUAAUCCUAUGGAUGAUAUUUCAAAUCAUUUGUACGGAAUAUUAACUUUCUGGGACGUUAACCAGCAACAGCAAUCUAAAGAUAUAGAAACUUUUUUGAUAUAUAUACAUACAUAUUAUAAAUACAUUGACCAUCGUGUCACUCGUACAUCUUUUACACUCUUAAUGUGUCUAAAAUCAUUCGAACGCUACAACUACUGGACACUCAGAAUGAUCCUCCUUUAUCUUCUCACAGAAAUUAUGAAAAUACAUUUAAUAACGUUUUGAUUAUUUACAUUUUAAUUUAUAUAUUAUCAAAUCAAUUUAUUUAGUAAUUUCUAAGAACUUCUGAAUUUUUUCAGUAACUUUAAAAGAAGAAAUUAGAAACGGGUCAUUCUGACUCAUUUGGUGGUUCCAGUGUCAAAAACGUUUGAACCUGUAUCCGAGGGAAAGAUGUCCGUGCAAAAUUCGAUGCCAAUGUAAUUAAAUAGUGCGUUGCAUAAUAAUGUCCACCGGAUUACCCAAUACGCUUCGACGGUUGUCCUUAUCGUAUACGGUUUAUCGGUUACUUUGGAACACGUGCUCGCACGUUGUACGCAUUCCCAGCUUCUCAGAAACACCCAAGAAGUCCUGAGUGGAAUUCUGUUUCAUACGGCGCGGCCGCGGGGACUCGGUUGACUAUACCGGUCGCCUCACAAGUGGAACACUUUUGGGUUCGAGCGGAACAAGCGGUGAACUUAACUGAAGCGACCGGAUUCGUUGGAACCGAGAGAAUAAAUUCGCUUACGUAAAAAGAGACCUAAAACGCAUGGAUAAAAGCUGGAAACGAAAAGUUGAAACUACGGAAGAGCCUCGAAUUUGUGCUCAGCCUGUACAACGACGGAAGCCUGAAGACAGACGAAUGGAAAAGGAAAACAAGUGGGAAAAAGAUUCGACCAAUAGUGAGCCAAGCUGUUAAACGAGCAACGAUGCACCAGUGAUCAAAUCGCAUCCUUCACAGGACCAACCAAUCCAUGUGUUCCACACGACUACAGAUACCUCUCUACCAACAUGACGACGAGCAUCACGUGACUUUAGCCUUGUUCUUCCGGAACGGCGGGAACUGAGGGAACUUCCGUCGCCGCCGCUUCAGCUCGUCGUUGUCCGUGGUCGAGUUCGAGUCGGUGGACAGCGUCUCUUCGUCCACGGACACCGUCGGCAGCUCCUUCGUUGACUUCUUCAGGCUGCCCGACGACGUUGUGGUCAUCGCAGUCGUUGUGCUUGCCGCGGUGACCGCCGGCUGACCAGCAGACGCCUUCUGCUGCUGCGCUGGCCUCUCCGGGACCGGUGAGUCCAAUGAGUUCUCCGAGUAAGAUGUCUUCGACAGGAAUGCUGAGGACUUCGCUGGCUCCUCCGGACCCUCGCCCACAGUGAAGUGCACCACGUUGCUCUCCGGCGGCGUGUCCUUCCCUGUCUCGCUGCUGGACGAGUCUGGAGGCGCGGACGACUCCUUCCAUGUUACACUGUCCAGCGUACCUGCGGGUCAGGAGAAAAGUCAUCGUUUGGGAGGACACUGGUCGUUGCGGGCUGCAGUUGUAGGCAACUCUGCGACGAGGGUAUUCCAAUGGUUUACUUGGUACAUGUACAGGUGUCCUAUGAUGGUACGACAAAGGGUGGCUCUAUGUGGAAAGUUGGGAUACCCUCUAAUGAUGAAGAUUUGUUGAAUUGAUUAGAAUUUGUAUGUAUAUAGUAAAUUUAGAGUUUGAGCUUACUGAACUUGAUUGUCUUAAGAUUCAUCAUUUGGUCGAGAGAAGCCUACAAUGUUACAUAUUUGAUAUGUUCCUGAUGAUUUCUUAAAAUGUACGAUUGUCAAUAUGAAGGAACUUGUAUGGAGUUAGUUUCCAGUGUUCGGGCUUGAUCUUUUUAUGCUGAUCUACCGAUGCCUGUUCGACAUUGCGCUGGAUCGGUGCCAAAAGUUUAUGUUACGCUUUGAACAAUUUUUUUCAACGGUUACAGUCACUCGGGUCUUGGAAACCGCUUUGAAUUUUUAAGUAACGUUCGAAAUGGAGAUUUGCAUAGAAACAAUAGACCUUUCGCACCUAUCGCAUACUAUAAAUAUUUACAAUAUAUUCGUCUUUGUUAGUUCACGAAAUCGUAAUGCUCAUGCUUCCUCCUCGGUGACGAAUCCGUGCAAGGUUGAGUCCCACAAAAAGCCACAUAGCCGGCGGAUGUAGAAACGAGAUACGGUGAACUAUAUCUCCUCUUAAUUAGCUUCUGAUUGAUGCCUCUCUGCUGUUUAUUUGAGAUUGUCGAAAGAAUCAUUUGCAAUAAUUUCAGUGCAUUUAUAGAAACAUACGUUAGGAAAUGAAUGAAACGACCAGUGAUUCACUCAAGCUUCCUGUUAAGUAUUCUACAGAUUUGAUUAUAAUAUUUGAUGAUUUAAGUGAAAUAUUCCAUAAGACUCUGUACGCAAGGUAAUGAAAUUUACAUACUGUUUCAGACCUGUUCCACGGGUUACGUUUCUAUAAAUAAACGUCUACAAAUGUAUACACAUUUUGUUACUGUAAUGGCUGCGUUUAGUCGCUGCGGAUAUCAAGGGAGAUAUGUGCAUUCGUAAAUACAUGGAAACAUCUUGGUAAGAAUUAAGAUAUGCGGAAGGCUGUCUGAUAUCGGUCAUUAGAAUUCUGCAUGCUCAUUCGGAGAACAAUCGUUGAUAGAGCUACGGUGAUCGGGGAGUGAACAUGCAGCGCACAUUUCAUACUUUACCAGAAAAUGCAGCCGGGCCACGUGUGUUUCGUGUGGAUAUCGCAGAUUUCUUAACAACUAUACAACCUUCGACCCUUUCGUCAUUUUCGUAUUUCGAAUACUUCAAACGUCCCGUCUUUGUCAGAGGAAAAUAUUAUUUAAACGAGAAGCUGACGCUUUGUUGUUGAGAAAAGCGAACGUAAAUUAAGUCGACGGAACAUCUUAAGCUCAAAAAUAUUUAAUAAUCGUUACCACUUGCAACCAUCGCGACGCUUAUUGCGCAGAGUAUGCAGUCUUAAUCAUCAAUCUUAAUCAAUGCAGUUGAAACAAACGAUAACAUUGGAAAACAAUUUAAUUGACACUGGAGAACAAGGAAACUAAUCAAAGUUAGGAGAUAAUGAAAAAAUAUUGAGGAACAUUUUUCAAGCAUUAUAAUAUUAUAUUUAAAAAACAAAGAUUUGUAAUUAUUGAAUAAUAUUGAAAAUUUUAAAUCGAUGGCAUUGUUCUAGAAAUUCAAGACCAGUGGCAGAAAAAAAGAAUUGCGACAACAGCGGCGUAAUUCAUUGACAAUUCCAGCGGGGGAAUUAAAAUUACAUACUCGAACGCGUAAUCAAUCAUAAGAUCUAGCGGAGAGAAACACACGGCUUAGGUCAUACGAACAAGACUUAAUGGUUUCUUGGUUUCCUGCAUAUUGCUUGAUUUAUUCACUGCGAACUAUAUAUAUUGUACAGAAUCUGGGUGGGUGGGGGGUUGGAGAUAAAAUAUCAUAAUAUGUCUGAGAGUUGUUUACAGAUUCCGGUGUUCACACGUUCUGGGUACAAACAUUGAAGGGAGAAGUUCGUUUCCAACAACGGAAUUAUAAAACACAGCGAAACAAUAAUUUCAACAGAGAUUAACAAAGUAGAGAAUAAACGUAACAAUGCUGCCGACUCGAAUGCAGGUGACCCCAUUUUUUCUUUUCCAGAAUAUGACCGAGGUUUAUAGCAUCUAAUUAAGUACUUAAGAUACGGUUUAAUUAACGCUGUCUCUUCGUCGGUUCGAGCGAACAUUCAAUUAGCGACACAACGAUUCAGGCGUCGCACCCGAACCGCCGACCAAUAACGCUCCGCUCGUUCCCGUUGGCAACGCUCGGGCCUAGGGGGAAGAGGCUGUCGGCGAUUGCCACACGCGAUCCGCGCGGGAUUGAACAACGCUCGGGAAUUGUUGCAGCCGAGUAAAAACCACGGUCGAAUACAGUCGAAUCUAAUUUUAAUUGAUGCUAAUAUUAAACGUGACGCGCCGGUUAACGGUGUAUCCCCGGAGAAAUAGAUUUCGUUUCUUGGCAUGAUCCGUCACAACGGAUUCCCCGGUUAAGAGAAUCCCAGAAGCUCAGAGAGAGAGUACAGGUCGCUUAAUCGUUCGAGCGUUACAAUUAAUUUUAAACGAAAGAGAUUAUUGCAUCAACGUAUCACAGACGAGAAUUAUCGAAGAACUUCAAUACACGUCGUUCUCGACGAUUCGAAUCACCAUUUCUUCUAAAACUGUGUUGCUACUAGAAAUUUUCAGACUGUACUGUUCCUUUCAAAUUCUACGGUCGCAGACGCUGUUCGAAAUCUGCUCUAAUUUAAGGACGUUACUCCCACUCUCCGACGAUCCUCCCUCCCUGCUUUGUCAGCGUUAUUUAACCACGUGUUGCACAUUCUCAUGCACUUUUUGCAUUCUACCCGAUUUUGUUUCUUGCAAUGUACCUCAACGUAUAUCGUAAUUUAUGUAAAUUUACCGUUGACGGUUCGAUUAGGAGUUUCCUCGAAUUUUGUGCGAAAUUUACGACGCAAUUGGAUAUCGAUUGAGAAACACUGCUCAUAGCGAGUGCACCAGUGUGCACACGAUCACAUGGUCGAAUUGAUAAUAGAUCAAAGGACGGUAUAUCGGACUCGGUAACGAAAAGGUUUCCGAGCCGACGCGUCCGCGUUGAUACGCGUACGCUUUCGUUUAAAAUUACUCCUAGGGUCCGUUCGAUUUCUGUCUGUACGUCCGCUCGGUCUGCACGAGAAAUGGCACCUCCAGAAUGACACGCGGCCACCAUCGUCCAAUUAAGAUCGGAUUCCGAUGCUCGGCUCGCUUUAAUUCGAACUAUUAAUAAAGAACGCAUUGUGCAACAGCUUUUCCGCUGGUCUGGCAAAACGGAACGUGCGUCUUUUCGAGAACGGGAGGAACGGUUGGCUCGGCCUUUCGGUGUCGAUGAAAAAUCUCUCGAAAGUUCUAUUAAAGGAACUGAACAUGAAUAGGUUAAUAUUUCAUUGAGAAACGAGAAAAGUUCUCGUGGCACGCUCUCCCGUCUUCGUUGUUGCUGCCUACGAGCCGAGGAAGCAAACUAUAAAUGAUCCUCGUGAUUCAGGGACAAGAAUUUUCAGAUUCGCGAGAAUUGAAGUCAUAAGAGAGAUAUAGAUCGAUGUUUAAUAUAGAUUGGUAAUCGAAGAAACUUCAGAGUCGUUGCAACUGUCCAUGAGAUUAGAGAUAUUGUUUAAAUUGUAGAUUUUAUCGAAAAAUAUGUAUAGAGAAUCUCUUGGUGAUUGAAUAUAUUGAAUUGAAUAAAUUUUUUUGAAAUAUUGUCGAGACCCAUUGUCUGCUUGGAUCGGCUCAAAAUCUUCAGUCGAUUUGCGGUUGAUUUAAUAGUGAAUUUUUCGAUAAAACAGAUAUCUAUGGAAAAUUUCUAGUUAGCAUACAAUUCCUACUACGAUGACAAUUUUUUGUAAAAAUAUCACAUUAUAAGAACCACUUGAUCUCCAUGUAUCAAUGCCUUCUCACAUUGUUAUUAACAAACCUUUCACCCUAACCGUUCACUUUUUGAACAUUUAUAAAAAUGUGAAUUACAAAAAUAUGUCAUGUUUCCCUAUGAACUGUCACCUGCCCAACUCCUUAAUGUUUAUGUGAGUACAUGGUUGCAAAAAAACAACACAAUUUAUCAGUGUAAUAAUGUUGCUACUUGUUAAAUUGUAUGUGAUAUACAAACUGGCGCAUUAACAAUAAAUUAAAAGAUUUGUCAUUGUUUUCAGAAAGUGGAUAAAAUUCUGUGGUAAAACCUGACAAAUCUCGAGAUUAGGAAAGGGGAACAUUCCAGAGUUUUAAUCCUCCCUUUUCCUGCACACAUCCUGAUAAAUUCGAUAAAAAGGCUGUCAAUUGUUGUAAUGCUAAUUGGGUAGUGUCAUGUGCUAGAGAAUUCACUUUUAUUUCCACAUGAGUUUCAUUUUGUAAAUAUUUCUCUAAAAGCCAUAUAUAGUUCUGAUCGCAAAUAUAAAUUUAGGUCACACAUUACUUUGACAGUUACAUUUAACAAACGGCAUAAAUUUCGCAACAUGUUCCGUAUAGAAAUUGAUAUGUGCCGAUUUUCAAGGUCUUCAAUCUUAAAUUGUUAAAAGUUACUCCAAAUUACUAAACAAAUUGUCUUCUUCCCCUAGAAUGAAAUGGUGGCAACUGUUAAUCAAAUAAUUCAAAAAACAGCGUAACAAAAAUAAAUACAUACUCUUAUUUAAAAUCUUUAUUAAAUUAG